GGAAGGGRUGUAUUUAUUAGAUUAAAAACCAAUGCCCUUCGGGGCUCUGUGGUGAUUCAUAAUAACUUCUCGAAUCGCACGGCCUUGCGCCGGCGAUGGUUCAUUCAAAUUUCUGCCCUAUCAACUUUCGACGGCUGGGUCUUGGCCAGCCAUGGUGACAACGGGUAACGGAGGGUUAGGGCUCGACCCCGGAGAAGGAGCCUGAGAAACGGCUACUACAUCCAAGGAAGGCAGCAGGCGCGCAAAUUACCCAAUCCCGACUCGGGGAGGUAGUGACAAUAAAUACUGAUACAGGGCUCUUUUGGGUCUUGUAAUUGGAAUGAGUACAAUUUAAAUCCCUUAACGAGGAACAAUUGGAGGGCAAGUCUGGUGCCAGCAGCCGCGGUAAUUCCAGCUCCAAUAGCGUAUAUUAAAGUUGUUGCAGUUAAAAAGCUCGUAGUUGAACCUUGGGCCUGGCUGGCCGGUCCGCCUCACCGCGUGCACUGGUCCGACCGGGUCUUUCCUUCUGAGGAGCCGCAUGCCCUUCACUGGGUGUGUCGGGGAACCAGGACUUUUAC
rnacentral:rRNA from 1 species